UACGGGGGGGGCAAGCGUUGUUCGGAAUUACUGGGCGUAAAGGGCUCGUAGGCGGCCAACUAAGUCGGAUGUGAAAUCCCAAGGCUUAACCUGGGAACUGCAUCCGAUACUGGAUGGCUUGAAUCCGGGAGAGGGAUGCAGAAUUCCAGGUGUAGCGGUGAAAUGCGUAGAUAUCUGGAGGAAUACCGGUGGCGAAGGCGGCAUCCUGGACCGGCAUUGACGCUGAGGGGCGAAAGCUAGGGGAGCAAACGGG
rnacentral:rRNA from 1 species